AGUAGAAUGACUGAGAUAUAGGUAAUAAAUUGUAAAUUUAUUUAGGGAUAAUAUGUUUAUUCUUCUACUA
rnacentral:tRNA from 1 species